AUAUCAUUAUGAAUUACUAACAUUUUGUUGGUUAUACGAAUAUAAUAAAACCAUGUCCUGUAAAGGUCUCAUCUCCCAGACUCCCGCUCCUAGAAGAACAACUAGGGUCUCUGGAUCACUGGUGCAUGAAAUCUGUUCCAUCAAAUACGAAUGGCUACUUCUUUAUCAAAUCUUCUCCGUUGGAAAUGUGGUUGGUGCAAACUUUUCUCUCAAAAUCAUGUGAUGUCGUCUUCAGACUCUCCUUCCAUUCAACACCAGGUCAUUCCGGUUGCUAAAUCUGCCAUUUUUGAGACAUUGGACAUGUGAAGAGAUCUGCCCGAGAUUCAUAAUUUUGUGGAGGAAUAAUCCAUUAGACAUGUGGAAAAGAUUGUGGAAGCUAGAGGGUGGCAUCAGUUAAAUGCAAGUAGGUAUUGAUAAUUUCUUUUCAGUGGAAAACUAAUUACUACUUCUUAGAUGAAAGACAUGUUGAAUGCUAUUAUUGAAUCAAUAGUUAAAGAUAUAAAAUAGUAUUGUUCCCAUGAUUCAGAAGGAUUACAUAUCAGUUUAGAAAUUCUUGUAUUAUUGACCUGUUUUGGUAAUUACGCUUAUACUAUUGUCUUUUCCAAAAUUUUGACCAUUUGAUGUAGUUAGAUAUAGGAAAUAUCUGGAGCCAGUAAGAUUUUUUGUGUUUACUGUUCAUACAUUUGGUUUAUAUACUGUGGUUGGUCCAGAAUGUGACUUAAAUUUCUAGACUUAUGUGAAUAUUAAGUAUCUUAAAGUAACAAAGGAACAGACUUUUAGUCCACCGCAAAGUUGAUGAAACCUCUUCCAUACCAACUUCAGUACUCACCACUAUUAAUCACUAAAAUGCACGGUAUUUUCUUUUACUAGCUUUGGAAUCUAGGUUCGAUGGAUUAUUCAAGUUAGUUAAUGAAUCAUUUUGUUUAGUAGUUCUUUCUAAUACCUCGUUAUCUUUUUAGAAAGAGAAGGGAAAAAAGUAUGCUGCUAGUUAGCAUUAUUGUUUGAUUCUAAUGAUAAACAAACACACAAGUUAAUUUGAAUUAGUUAAUUAUUUAAUUAUAUUACUGUUAUCUUCAGUGCAAUUGGUUGCUUGAUCAAAUAUGAUUUUGCAUUAAAAAUAUAAUGAUUGCUUCUUUACGUAUAUGUCAAAAUAUAACCAUAUAAUCUGACAGAUUCUGUUUGGUCGUGUUACCAAUUUAGCCACGUGUUGCUUUUUCUUAGCACCAGAAGUGGGCUGGAUAUGAGAAAAAAAGUCUUGGUCUUGGACCAAUAAUUGGGCAAUGAUAUGACCUCAAAGCUAAAUCUGGGUUUUGGAUGAGGUCUAUUUGCAUCCAAGAUGAAGUGAUCUAUAUCGUCCAUGGUCUAAAUAAUGAAAAUUUUAAAAUUAACAUUGAUAUAGUUUCAUUAAACUCUUUUUAGUUAAGUACCAAACCAUUUGCAAACUAAACCAUAGAAAACCAUGAUGUUUGAAUCAUAAUGAUACUAGGUCUAAAAGAGUACAAAGUUGAUGAUGCAACCUUUGUAGAUCUAUACACAUUCAAAAAGAAAGUCAAAAUGGUUCAUUUUUCAAUGACAUCUGAGUAAUAUACAUUAACAUAGAAAAGGAUAUCAACAUUUUAGUUUUUCUUUUUUUUUUUAUAAUUUUUUUAUAAUUUUUUUUUAUAUAUAUCCUUCAAAUUAAGAUAUUGAGGCUCAAGUACAAUAAGUAAAUUGAUCAUUUCUAAAAAGAAAUAGAAAUGAAGAAAAAUGCCACUUUUGUAUAAUAAAUUGUUCAUCUUCUUCAAUCUAAGUUUUGUAAUGGAAUGAAUACAGUGUUAAACAAUUAAAAGAUAUAUAGCAAAUAUCUGAUGUAGAUUUUAAAAGGCGGCUAUGUAAUAUUUAAGUUUGCAUACCUGGUGAGUUGAUAUUGAUGGUUCACUCAUCACUUUCUGCAAGUUGAAAUGAAAUCUAAAGUAUAAGUUUCCUAUCUAUUGUUUUUAUGGUUCAAAAAUGGAGGCUGCGAAGUUACUUUAACUUAAAUGCACAUAUGACUUUGAGAUUAUGGACAAUGAAGUUUUUGCAUUUGCAAAAUUUAUGUCAUGGUUGUAUUAAAUCUUUACUUACUAUUAUGUAUCGCAUCAUCAUAGUGUAAAUGAUGUUGUGAAUACUUAUGAAAGUAUGUAUGGCUAUUAUGAUUUAUAAAUUCAUAAUAAUAAUUAAAAUUCUAAAAUGAAGAUAAGAAUAAAUAUUACAUUUGUAGUAAGAAUGUAUGAAAAAUUAUUUUCUUCCUCCUCAGUUUGGUAGGUUAAAUAAAUAAUCAAAAGUAAUCAAUGUUAAUUGAUAAUGUAAUUAUUUGCAUCAUUAAUACAUUAUGGUCAUUUGAUGAGUUGACUUGGAGGCAUGCACUCAUCAUAAUUUUCAUAUGAAGUUGAAAUAAAUCAUAUGAAAAUUUUACAUGGUUAUUGCUAUUAUAAUGUCUUUAUUUCAAUCAUUAUGUUGUUCAAUAGGGCAAGUUGGCAAUGCAUUUGUUGGGGGCGGGGGGAGAUGCAAACAAACAAAACUCUCAACUCUUAUUAGGUCAUAAAGUCCAACUCUCUGACCAAGAAUAUCAAUUAAUAAAUCAAGGGCUUGUUUGGUUGCAGUUUAAGAUAUUUCUGUAUAAUAUCUCGUGUUAUUUUGUUUUGUGGUUUCAGUUGUUUUUCUUUAUGUUUUUCCAAUUGAAAUUUCUAUUAUUUUGGCCCUAUUUUUUCUUUUUUGUUAAGCACACCAAACAUUUAUGUAUUCUCUAUUGCUUCUGCCUUCCUAGUUUUUUUGGGAAGCAUUUUAAACAUUCAAAUAAGCUCUAAUUGUGACCAAGUUCUUCUAUAAUAUACCAAAUUAUGCUCCAGGAUGCUUUAAAUUAUGAAAUUAUUCACUGUUCUAAUACAUUCUGAAGAAUAUCAGGGAAAAAAUAAAAUAAAAAAAGAAAAAGGAAAAAGAAAAACUCUCUCCGUAGAAUCAAAAUAAAAGAAAUAACAGUCACCAAGAGUUCUGCAGUGGUUUCUCCAACACAGCUGAAAGGUACAUCUCCUUGAGCUCUUCUCCACGAUCAAGCUUCCGUCCCACUACCCACUUCACCUUCUUGAAUCCAAUGCUGUGGAUAAGUGGCAUAUAAACAUUCUCCAACUGGUCACCCACACAGAAGAAAUGGUCAAGCCAAAACAACCCUCCUGGUCUAAGCACCCUGUAGAUGUCAAAAAACAUGAAGUGUAGCAGUGUUGUGGGUAUCCAGUUACUCAACACAUGCAUCGAGUGCACAAUAUCCAGCGUGUUAUCGAAGAAGGGAAGUCUCUGAGAAAUGCUUAUAUAUAAUGCAAAUGUAGCCACACCACCUCCAAUGUCAAGCCCUAUACGGAUUGUGCCAGCCUUCUUCAUUGCAAGUACUUCAUCGAUUGAAAAAUCAAGCUCCCUACCAACAUUACUUGUCCAACGGAUCUUUUCUGGACCCUGAAGAUCGAAACAGUCUUUACAAUCAUCAAAGCCCUUCUGAUUUUUCUUGCGGUUGAUGAGACAUGAGUAGUCCUUGCAAGUAUAUGCUGUCCAAACCACGGAUGAAUCAGAUGGCGUGGUCCAAUAGCUUACAGGAAUAGGGUAGGGCUCAACAUAUUCUGGCGGAGAAGCUGGACGACAACGACGGCGAGGCAGUGGCUCACAGCCUUUGAGAAGGAGCUUCUGGGCUAGGAUUUCAUCAUCUGGGCAGGACCCAUUGACCGUGUAUGACAUGUAGCGCUGUAGUAUUUCAGGAAAGAGGGUGCAAGGGGCACCAACUGGAGGUAAUAUUUUGUCAGAAUCAAAGUUAGUGUUGAACCCGAAUGGGAGUGUUUGUGGAGAUGUGAAGGCUAGGUAUUCAGGUGGGAGGUCUGAAGUAGUUUGAGAUUUCUCAGACAGUUCAACUACAUCGUGUCUAGGAGCUAAGUCGGCGAUGGCAGGGGCAGUGGUGGUGAUAAUGGUGGUACCGGUGUUGGCAGUGGUGGCGGUAGGAUUGAAAGAGCAAGAGGAAUAAAAGGUGGCGGAAAUGAACAGGGUGAGAAGAUUUGAAGACAACAGGAGGAAAAGAAAGAAGAGAUUGGAGACAGAUUUGGGCUUGUGAGGGGAAUCCAUAGGUGAUGUUUCUGAUUGAUACAGAUUACUUAGAGUUGAAGAUGAAAAUGUUGGUGUUAAGAGUAGGUAAGCUUGGGAGAUGUCCUAUUUGCUAACUAAAAUAGAUUAAUGGGGCUCUCAUUUUUAGUCAAGCAUUGAUGGUGUUGUCAAGAGGCAUCUCAUUUAUAAUACAAAUUAGGUGAUGUUGAUCAUCACUGUUUAUAUUAAAGUAAUGUAGCAGGUGCUAGAGCUUGUAGAAGGUCAACUCUGGGUGAAACUCAAUGAAGUCCAACUCCAUAAAUUAAUAUGCUUCUCAGAAAACCAAGAUCUUGUUUUUCGCGGCUAAUGUAAGCAAAAACUCGUUUGAUAAAUAGAUUUUCCCCCCCUUUUCUGGGAUUUUAAUUCAGAACUAAUGCAAACUAUUAUUAGGUGCUCUUGAUCAUCACUGCUCAAAGAUGCACAUUUGACAAAUGCUAUUAUUUUACAUUUGAUGAUGCUAAAUCUUAAGUGAGAUGUAUAAAAUUUCAGUUUUUGUUUUACCAAAAAAUUCUCUCUCCCUCUCUCAAUAUAUAUAUAUAUAUAUAUAUAGAUAAAUAUAUGUACUUAUGUGUAUAUGCCUUCCUGACUAAAGAUGCACGUUUGACAAAUACUAUUAUUAGGUGCACUUGAUCACCACUGCUUAAAGAUGUACAUUUGACAAAUGCUGUUAUUUUACAUUUCAUGAUGCUAAAUCUUAAGUGCGAUGAAUAAAAUUUCAGUUUUUGUUUUAUCAAAAAAUCCUCUCUCUA